rnacentral:misc_RNA from 1 species
AAAGUCGUAACAAGGUUUCCGUAGGUGAACCUGCGGAAGGAUCAUUAUUGAAUAAACUUGGUUGGGUUGUGCUGGCUUUUCGGAGCAUGUGCACGCCUAGCGCCAUUUUUACCACCUGUGCACAUUUUGUAGAUUUGGAACAAUUCUCGGGUUUACUCGGUUUGAGGAAUGCUAUGCCAAAAGCUUAGCUUUCCUUGUGUUUCAAGUCUAUGUUUUUAUAUACCCCAUACGAAUGUAAUAGAAUGUCAUUAAUGGGCUUAUAGCCUUUAAAUUAAUACAACUUUCAACAACGGAUCUCUUGGCUCUC